rnacentral:rRNA from 1 species
GUUUGGCUGGGGCGGCACAUCUGUAAAAUGAUAACGCAGGUGUCCUAAGGUGAGCUCAAUGAGAACAGAAAUCUCAUGUGGACC